AGCAGUUUGACAUCUUUUCACAUCUUUUUCAAUACGAGAAAAAUUAAUUCAGAGUUCUUCAAAAUAUGAACAUUUUUUGACAGGUAAAACUUUUCAGAUAAACUUUUUCAAUGAAAAUAGAAGCAUUCAUUCCACAGAAAAGUUUUCUCAGGGGAAAGCCAUUUAAUCACAAGCUAUAUAUAACACAGGAAAUAGCAUCCUUUGUUGAAUCACUAGCUGCCACAAAGAGUCCUCAGUUUUCUAUAGUGGUCCUGUCCCUGCUGAGAGUGAGAGAUUCCUCAUGUCCAUGGCCCUGCAAAGGUUUAAAUUAAACCUACCUUACACACAUUGUGGGAGGCUGAAUUUAAUUUAAUGGCUUCAGCCCAAAAUCCAGAGGGAUACAUGUUCUCUGAAGACACUUCCACAAGACAAUUUGCCACUUUCCACCAUCAGUAUUCCUAGUCAACCAGAGUGGUCCCUGAAGAUUGGAGGCUUGCCAACGUGACUCUUAUCUACAAGAAGGGUCAUAAGGAGUACCCGGAGAGCUACAGGCCUGUCAUCCUGACCUUGGUGUCAGGGAAGGGUAUGGAACAGAUCAUCUUGAGUGAGACCACAUGGCAUGUGCAAGACAACUGAAGGAUCAGGCCCAGCCACCGUGGGUUGAUGAAAGUGCUUCCCAACAGCACCCCGGGUCUCCAAACUGUACUUGCAGUGUUCUUUGCUCAGCUGCCUACAGCACCUGGAACAAGAGCUAGAAGAAUCUCCUCUACAGAUAUGAUCUUAACAAGGAUUCAGCUACUGCAAAAUUUAUCUCAGCUGGAGGAGCGAUGGAGAUUAACACGAUCAUUUUGCUAGCACAGCUGUAUUUGCCUGGGACAUGGG
ensembl:lncRNA